CGAACGCUGGCGGCGUGCCUAAUACAUGCAAGUCGAACGAACACGAAAGUGUAAGUGGCGAAACGGGUGAGUAACACGUGAGUAACCGAACUAUAAGACGAGGAUAACUACUGGAAACGGUAGCUAAAACUGGAUAGGAUAUAUAUGAGAAUAUAUAUUUAAAGGUGACAAAAAAGCAACACUUAUAGACGGGCUUGCGGCGCAUUAGCUAGUUGGUAGGGUAAGAGCCUACCAAGGCAACGAUGCGUAGCCGACCUGAGAGGGUGAACGGCCACACUGGGACUGAGAAACGGCCCAGACUCCUACGGGAGGCAGCAGUAGGGAAUCUUCGGCAAUGGACGAAAGUCUGACCGAGCAACGCCGCGUGAGUGAAGAAGGUCUUCGGAUUGUAAAGCUCUGUUAUUAGGGAAGAAAGGCUAAAGUAGGAAAUGACUAUAGAUUGACGGUACCUAAUGAGAAAGCCACGGCUAACUACGUGCCAGCCGCCGC
rnacentral:rRNA from 1 species